rnacentral:rRNA from 1 species
ACGUUAUUCGGAAUCACUGGGCUUAAAGCGCGUGUAGGCGGGGCGGCACGUCGGCCGUUGAAAGCCCCCGGCUCAACCGGGGAAUUGGCGCCGAUACGACCGCCCUGGAGGGACGUAGGGGGACCUGGAACUUCCGGUGGAGCGGUGAAAUGCGUUGAGAUCGGAAGGAACACCCGUGGCGAAAGCGAGGUCCUGGACGUCUGCUGACGCUGAGACGCGAAAGCCA